CGGAAGUGUGGCCGUGAGGCUGGAAGCCGAGCCGCCAUGGGGCUGCGGCUCCUUUCGCUCCUGUUCCUCAGCCUCCUCCUGACAGGCGGCAGCUGCGGGGAGCUGCGGGCAUUCGUGGUCGCCCACAGCCACAUGGACGUUGGCUGGAUUUACACGGUUCAGGAAAGUAUGCAUGCUUAUGCAGCAAAUGUCUACACAACUGUUGUAGAAGAGUUAAUGAAAGGAAAGCAGCGCAAAUUUAUUGCUGUGGAGCAGGAAUUCUUUCGACUCUGGUGGGAUGCAGUAGCUACAGAUACACACAAGCAGCAAGUCCAUCAGUUGCUUCAGGAGGGCCGAUUGGAAUUUGUCAUUGGAGGACAAGUGAUGCAUGAUGAAGCUGUGACACUAAUUGAUGAUCAGAUUUUACAGUUGACGGAAGGCCAUGGAUUUUUGUAUGAAACUUUUGGGAUCAGGCCUCAGUUUUCUUGGCAUGUUGAUCCUUUUGGAGCUUCAGCUACAACACCAACUCUUUUUGCUCUGGCUGGUUUUAAUGCUCACCUUACUUCUCGGAUUGACUAUGAUCUCAAGGCUGACAUGCAGAAGAACAAGAAGCUUCAGUUUGUAUGGCAGGGGUCUCCUUCCUUAUCUGAAAGACAGGAGAUCUUCACCCAUGUUAUGGAUCAGUACAGCUACUGUACCCCGUCAGAAAUACCUUUUUCUAACAGAUCAGGAUUUUACUGGAAUGGAAUUGCAACUUUCCCAGAUCCACCAAAAGAUGGUGUUUAUCCAAACAUGAGUCUCCCUGUUACAGAUACCAACAUCCAUCUGUACGCACAGACUAUGGUGGUAAACAUUAAGGAGAGAGCAGCCUGGUUCCGAACAAGUGAUGUUUUGUGGCCAUGGGGCUGUGACAAGCAGUUCUUUAAUGCAUCUAUUCAGUACUCCAAUAUGGACCUGUUGUUGGAUUAUAUUAACAAGCAUUCUGAUGAAUUUGGGGUGACUGUCCAGUAUGCCACCGUUGGUGAUUAUUUCCAAGCAGUUUAUAGCAGGAAUCUUACAUGGGAAAUUCGAGACUCUCAAGACUUUCUUCCAUACUCAACAGAGCCAUUUCAAGCAUGGACUGGGUUUUAUACCUCUCGGAGCACAUUAAAAGGAAUCGCAAGGAGAGCAAGUUCACUGCUUUGUGCUGGGGAGUCCUUUUUCACACAGUAUGUCCAGAAACAUCCAGCAAGUUCUAUUUGUAAACAUAGAGCCUUAAAGCAACUUCAGAGCCUUAGAUGGGCAGUUUCAGAGGUCCAGCACCACGACGGUAUAACAGGCACAGAGUCUCCCAAGGUGAAAGACAUGUACAUGAAUAACUUGAUGUAUGGGAUAUUCAAUGUAAAGAAGCUAAUGGCUUCCAUAAUCUUUGACAUGAACAACGCAAAGAAGAAUGGAGAAGUCUAUUCUUCUGUUUACAAUAAAGACUCAGGAAUACCAGGUGCUUCAGAUGUUGACCAAUAUGUUGUUGUCUAUAAUCCACUGGCAUGGAACGUCACCACCUUUGUCACUGUUUCUGUCAGCCACUUGGCAAUGAGCGUAUAUGAUGAAUUGGGACAUUCUGUACCAGCACAGGUUCAAAGUUCAGCACGGUCCCAUUCUACCUAUGAUCUUUAUAUUCUGGUUGAAAUAAGUGGUCUGAGCUACAGAAAGUACAAUGUUAAACCCUUGAAUGAUAAGCAGUCUGCAUUUAUUGGAAGAUCAGUCAAGUACAAGCGAAAAGACGUAACUCAUGCAGAUCAACAAAGUCGCCAGUUGCUUUCUGUGGUUAACAACUGCUACCUGAUCUUGUUUGACCAGAGCACUAACCUAAUGCACAGCAUUACAGAGAGGGAGACUAACCAGACUGUCCAGUUGACUCAGGAGUUCCUUGAAUACCAUGUGAAUGGAGACGUGAUGAAAGGACCCAUUUCAGAUAACUACUUAUUUACCCCAAAUGCUUCAGCUGUUACAGUAUCAAAAGCAGUAGGAAUGGAAGUAGUUUCUGGAAACUUGAUGACAGAGAUACGGCAGUAUUUCUACAGUAAUGUUACUGCUCAUGAUUACAUAUAUGCAGUGUAUACUAGGAUGUAUACAGUACCUGAAGGCUAUGAUGGGAAGUUGCUUUGCCAUAGGAUAGAGCAAGAAUACAGUGUUGGGCCUUUGGAAUUAAAUCGUGAAGCAAUUCUAAGAACAAGCACAAAUUUGAACACCAAGCAACUACUGUACACUGACAAUAAUGGAUAUCAGAUUCAGAAAAGACCAUUCAAGGCAUAUGUGAAUAACACAGUGGCUCGGAACUAUUAUCCUAUGGUCCAGACCGCUUUCAUUGAAGAUGAUACCACAAGGCUGAUGCUGCUUGCAGAAAGAGCUCAUGGUGUCUCAAGUCAAGGAAAUGGACAAGUGGAGGUGAUGCUUCAUAGGAGACUAUGGAAUAACCUUCAAUGGGACCUGAAUUACAAUCUCACUUUGAAUGACUCUUCAGUGGUUCGCCCUAUAAUUUGGCUUAUUUUAGGAGCCAAGGCUGCCACCAAUAUUUUGUAUCGGACAAGUGGACUGGCAUUAGAACACAGACCAGUAGUAAUGUUUGGAGCAUUAUCAGGAGAGAAACCAAAGCUAUCCGGACAACUUCAGCAGAAUUCAAUCCACAGUUCAUCUGUCACUGUCCCACCUAACCUUCAUCUCCAGACUCUGAGCAUUCCAGGGUGGAGAUAUAGCUCUAAUCAUGCAGAGCAGAUCCACAGUAUCUUCAUGGGUAAACAGAAGCAAGAUGAUCCAGACUUCAGUCGUGUCCUGCUAAGAAUCAGACACUUGUAUGAAGUUGGAGAGGAUCCUGUGCUGUCUCAACCCGUGAUUGUAAAUCUAAAGUCUUUGCUAAAGGAAUUAGGAUGCGUGGUGCUGAUUGAAGAGCGAUCACUCACAGGCACCUGGGAUGUAAGCACAUUGAAGCGGUGGAAAUGGAAGACUGCACAAUAUCCAAACAAAGGAUUCUCCAACAGUAUAGAGACCUCAGAAAACUACACAGUAACUGUUUAUCCCAAGGAAAUAAGGACUUUCUUUGUAUACUUUCAAGAUUCAAAGAAGUGUGCACAGUGGUAGCAAGAACUGUUUCAUUAACAUCAAGUUGAAGUUAAUCGUGGAAGACUGUGUUAAACUGUCAGUAAGUGCAAAUUCUAGACAAAUCUGACUGAGCAGCAGCAGAGGGAAACUUGUGCAGUGGCUAGCUUUCCUAAUAGCUGCUACAGGUCCCAAUAAUUUAACAGUCAUCCAAAUACCACCAAAAAUACAUCUAUCAAUUGGAGACUACACUGAAAUCACUUGUGUUUGGGAAAAAUCAGUUGAGAGGUAUAGAGUAAGCUGGUAUCUCAUUAAUAAAGAGAACAUCACAAAAGCCAUGUCAUCAAAACUUCUCUAUGUACCCAACAUGACCUGUGAAAGCAAGGAUGUGUUGGUGAUAAAAUCUGCCAAUGUAAAUGACACUGGAUUUUACUACUGUGAGAUAAUUAUUGAAAUACCUUUCUUUAAGAAAGUAUGUGGAAAUGGGACAACAGUGAUUGUUGAUGAGAAAGAAACUCAGUCAUUGAAAAAGAGAGAUCUGGCAAUAUGGGUUAUCAUUCCUUUCCUAGCAGCAAUGGGAAGCUUGUAUCUUUGCUACAAAAAGAAACGGCACUUGAAACUUUCUGGUUCUGCACAGCUUCCUGUGCCAGCAGGAGGGCAUCAGGAAGAGCAGAUGCUCAGAGUUGCAGAACUUCAUGGUAGAAAUAUACCCACCAAUGAAGCAGCUGAGGAAAACUCAUCAUGUAAUUCUGCUGAAUGGGCUGUGUCUACACUUUAUGAAUCACUCGAUUCUUUUCUGCAAUGAAUCAAGAGGAAGAGAUGACAAAUCCACUGCGACUAUUGUAUCCAGUGCAGCAGAUGAGCAAAUCCCAGAAACUAGGACAGCUAAAAAGCCUAGAAUGAGGCAAGGAUGUCUACUUUGACAUUCAGAACUAAAAUGAUAAAGUCAUAAAAAAUAUAUGGCUAAAUAACUAUGAAACUUAAAAAACAUAUGAUAAUUUGCUGCUAAAGGAUGGAUUACGUGAGCUUCCUGUCAGAAGCAUGUCAGCGGGACAACACACCAGAAAAAAGGCUGGUAACAAGCAAUCUGUGAAUGUUUCCUUGUUAACAAAACACUGAGGAGUCUGAAUUGGGAGGCUGUAAAACUUUAAAAAAAAUCAAUGAAGAAAAGUCACAAGUGAAAACAUAAGUAAAACCUGACUUCUGAGGUCUGAACAGGAGUGAAGAGUGCUGGCAGCAAAGCUAAUGCCAGUUGUCCAAGGACUGAUGAAUACCAAGAGCAGAUAUCUGAAAUGUAAAUGUAUUUAUGUACCAGAUUUAUUUGGUCUUCUGUUGAAGUUUUUUGAGAGCUUGGCUCAAAGUUAGAUCAUCUUACCAGCAAAGUGGGGAGAAGGGACUUGUCUGCUCAGGAGGUUUAUUACAGCGUGUGCCUGAGCAGUGCUGUAGAUGUAGACUGGCUUUC